ensembl:lncRNA
AUGUCCUAUUCUUUCCUCUUAGUAUAUCAGCACUGCAGGACUGCAAUACACAAUGAGAUCCGGGAACAUCACCUGAAAAGAAUCUACAGAGUAGAAGAGGAGUCCACCUCAGACACUAAUGACUUCCACUCAGAUAUUUCGCAUAGUGAUAUCACUGCUUUGCAUGAAUGGCCAACUACCCAUCAUACCUCACUUUCUGAGCCACCUUGUUCUAACUAUAGUGAUACAGACAAGGAUCUGGCAAUUAGUCGCUCUAUCUCAAAGCAUACUGGCUCCAUUGUUCUCAACCUCAAAGUGUCUGAGGUUGUUCUACAGCAAGCUGAGCAGAGUCUGGAUAAUGUGGAGGCUGACCAAUUGGGCGCCCCAUGCUUUGAUGAGGUGGAUGCUCUGAUGAAGAAGAUGAACAUGGAAAAAGAGCGCAAUGAUGGUGUUGGGAAGGCUAUGGGGCCACCGUUUGAAAAUUAUAUAUCUAAGUGGACCAUUAAUGGAGAGGAGGAGGUCAGUCAGUACAGUUCAGCUCAAGAGGAGAGCUUCGAAAGCACAUCCUAUCCUAGUAGUGUACAGGUUAUAUGUACAGCUUGGGUUGUCUAAGGCUCAGAAAGACAGCACAGGCCGAUCUUGUCUAGAAGAACAUUUCCAAACAAAACCCUCAUGGACCAGUGAGAAACAACAGCCACACCAUUCAUUAUCUUCAUGUGCAUUUUAUCCAGUUCAAAGACUGUCUAAGAGGUGACAUGUGACCCGUUGUUUGUGUCUGUGCAGGUGAGGUUAGUGAAAUGGUGGCCCUAAUGACAGGUGGGCGCUUGGGGUCACCCUUGAGUGCUUUUGGCAGCAGUGACAGUGAGGAUGUAGCAGAGCAACAGCUCUACCUACAGGACAGACAUAGUGUGAACAGCUACCAGGAAUCUGAGACCCAGGAAAGCACUGAUCUGGAGCAACUGUUCAAGAGUUUUGCUGGUAAUAGAGCUGUGCCUGAAAUUGCUGUUAAAGGGAUAGUUCACCUAAAAAUGAAGAUUUUGUCAUCAUUUACUAUAUAUUAAAUCCUAUCCUAUAUUUUAUAUUAAAUCCUAUUUAAUGCCAGGUAUUCAGAGUGAUAGUGAGGAGAGCACAAAUUACCACACUAUCAAACACACUUUUGAUGAGACCAAUGGAGUGCUGCAGGAAGCAAGCCACACAAAGGUGGUAAACUGUGACCUUUAUUUAUAUUUGUUUUGUGCAAGUUAAUUAAUGUUUUUUUUUUCACAUUAAAUCAAGAUUGUUGUAUGACUUAAACCUUGAUUAACAUCAUAGGUGAACUUCUAGAACAAAAUGCUAUAAAAAUGAUAAAUAUGUACACUUUAAUGUAUGUUGUGUCACAAGGACAAAAGAAGUUCAGAUGGUUCGGACUGUACACAGACACAGCAAUCUAGCAUGUUCUACACACCCAAACACCACCCAUCCAUCUGCACAUCAUCUGGUGAAGAGCGUUCUCAGGUGAAAAUAAACAAUUUUAGUUAUUUUUAUAGGAUACUCUU